rnacentral:lncRNA from 1 species
CCAGAUGUCAUGUGUGGCGAGGCAGCCUAGAGAGAGGUCCCUAUGGUGAGAAACUGGGGCCCCGCUAACAGCCACCUAAGUGAGCUUGGAAGUGGAUCCUCUAGCACCUUAGGACUGCAGCCCUGGCCAGUAGUUUGACUGUCUCCUCAUGAGAGAACCUAUGCCAGAAUCACCAACUAAGCCUUUCCCAAAUUCCUGACCCACAGAAACUGUGAACUGGCCAUCUUGCCUGUUUUCAUAAAAGUCUGAAAUACGGAGGAGACCCUGAUUUAUAUUUUCCAUAGAAGAGAAGAGAGAUUGAGAUGACUCUCUUGCAGUGAGGUAUGGCGUGUCCUCUCCAUGACAAUGUGAGGGAAAGUGAUGUAUGCCACUUCCAGGUUCUAUGGAACCCUGGAAUGAAGAGGAUGCCAACCUUGAAAAGCUAUUCUAGUUCUUUCAAUGUGCCAUAAUGGUAUAGGAGCAAAUGUUUCUGCUGAGGACACAGCAACGAAGCACCAAUUUUCACUGAGGUUCCUCACCAAACACUGAAUCCGCAAGUGCCUUGAUAUUGAACUUUCCAGCCUCCAGAACUAUAAGAAAUAAAUUUCUGUUA